UGGGGAAUAUUGCACAAUGGGCGAAAGCCUGAUGCAGCAACGCCGCGUGAGCGAUGAAGGCCUUUGGGUCGUAAAGCUCUGUCCUAGGGGAAGAAUAAAUGACGGUACCCUUGGAGGAAGCCCCGGCUAACUACGUGCCAGCAGCCGCGGUAAUACGUAGGUGGCAAGCGUUGUCCGGAUUUACUGGGCGUAAAGGAUGCGUAGGCGGAUUUUUAAGUGAGAUGUGAAAUACCCGGGCUUAACUUGGGUGCUGCAUUUCAAACUGGGAAUCUAGAGUGUGGGAGAGGAGAAUGGAAUUCCUAGUGUAGCGGUGAAAUGCGUAGAGAUUAGGAAGAACACCAGUGGCGAAGGCGAUUCUCUGGACCGUAACUGACGCUGAGGCAUGAAAGCGUGGGUAGCAAACA
rnacentral:rRNA from 1 species